AAGUACCUGGCCCAUAGCUGGUGCUCAAACCCAGGUUUCUGUGCGAAACAUGAGAAAUGAGGGUCUUGCAUAUUUCCCAGAUCGUCCUAAACUCCUGGAUGCACGCGAUCCUCCUGCCUCAGCCUCUGGAGUAGCUGGGACUAGAGGCUCACAACACUGUUCUCAACUAGGAUCUAAUCUUUAUUCUUAGUGUUCUAAUUUUUAAUCCUGGGGAUGAAAAUGCCUGCUGCUGGAAGUUGUGCAUGCAGUUUGAAGAGGAAAGUCAUUCUUCUGUGUCCUCUAUCUUCCCACUAUCCUCUGCUGCUUACCCUCCAUCCAAUCUGCAGCUUCUGAGUACAGACUUGUUGGAAUUCUGCCUUGAAGAAUGAUUUCCUUCUACACUGUAGUCCCUUUUGUGUGUAUUCUAGGAUGUGGCUCUUGUCCAUAUGACUUGUCCCCUAUUCUAUUUGUAGUUGCAGGUAUAUAUACUGCAUUUCAUCCAUAUUUAAAUGCACA